GACGAACGCUGGCGGCGUGCCUAAUACAUGCCAGUCGAGCGGACGGAUGGGAGCUUGCUCCCAGACCGUCAGCGGCGGACGGGUGAGUAACACGUGGGCAACCUGCCUGUAAGACUGGGAUAACUCCGGGAAACCGGGGCUAAUACCGGAUAACUCUUUCCCUCACAUGAGGGAAAGCUGAAAGAUGGCAUCUCGCUAUCACUUACAGAUGGGCCCGCGGGGCAUUAGCUAGUUGGUGAGGUAACGGCUCACCAAGGCGACGAUGCGUAGCCGACCUGAGGGGGUGGUCGGCCACACUGGGAGUGAGACACGGCCCAGACUCCUGCGGGAGGCAGCAGUAGGGAAUCUUCCGCAAUGGUCGAAAGUCUGACGGAGCAACGCCGCGUGAGUGAUGAAGGUUUUCGGAGCGUAAAACUCUGUUGUCAGGGAAGAACAGGUACCGGAGUAACUGCCGGUACCUUGACGGUACCUGACCAGAAAGCCACGGCUAACUACGUG
rnacentral:rRNA from 1 species